GACCGCGUAGCUCAGUUGGCAGAGCAUUGGGCUAGUAUUCCAAAGGUCGUAGGUUUGAUUCCCGCCGUGGCCG